UAAGGAAUCUUCCACAAUGGGGGCAACCCUGAUGGAGCAAUACCGCGUUCAGGAUGAAGCGUUUCGGCGUGUAAACUGCUUUUAUCACCGAAGAUUAUGACUGUAGGUGAAGAAUAAGGACCGGCUAACUACGUGCCAGCAGCCGCGGUAAUACGUAGGGUCCAAGCGUUAUCCGGAAUUACUGGGCGUAAAGCGUCUGUAGGCGGCUUAAUAAGUCGAGUGCGAAAUCUUGCGGCCCAACCGUAUAGACUG
rnacentral:rRNA from 1 species